GACGAACGCUGGCGGCGUACUUAACACAUGCAAGUCGAGCGGUAAGGCCCUUUCGGGGGUACGACGAGCGGCGAACGGGUGAGUAACACGUGGGUGACCUGCCCUCAGCUCUGGGAUAAGCCUGGGAAACCGGGUCUAAUACUGGAUAUGACUCCAUGACGCAUGUUGUGGGGUGGAAAGCCUUGUGCGGCUGAGGAUGGGCCCGCGGCCUAUCAGCUUGUUGGUGGGGUGAUGGCCUACCAAGGCGACGACGGGUAGCCGGCCUGAGAGGGCGACCGGCCACACUGGGACUGAGACACGGCCCAGACUCCUACGGGAGGCAGCAGUGGGGAAUCUUGCGC
rnacentral:rRNA from 1 species